GUUGCUCGUGGUAGUCCUUUGAUGGUGGAUGGCAACUCAUAUGCUGGAGAAUAUUUGAUUUCUUAACUGGAUGUGUGACUUAUUUCUCUUCUCAUGUGAAUCCAUGAACCACUUCACUAUUAGAAACUAGUAUUUGCGAUUUCCCUGGUAACGUUUUCGUUUAGAUUUGGCAGUUUGCAAGUAGUAUAUCGAUGAUCAACUAUCAAUAGAAUAUCAAUACAGCCAAUAUUAUCUCCUAUUUUGGUGUAGCAUGCAUGAUAUGCUCAUGAUAGUUAUAACAUUGGUUGUACUUAAUUUAUUUAUUCAUGAACUCAUUCAUAUCCUUGAAUUGGAUGGUGAAAAAGAUGAUACAAGGUUGCAUACUUAACAUUUGAAUUUCUCAUCAAGCAUUUUCCAACCAUGUUAGGGAUAUGGAUGAAGGGAUGAUCAAAACUGUGGAAUCAUUUCCAACUAUAUGUUGCUGUGGCUGUUGGCAAACAAUAUUUUGAUUGGAUUAUGUUUCUUUUUUUACUUUGUUGAGGAAAUUGGGUUGAGAAGCCUUAAAGGACUAAGAGAUAAAUUGACAGGUAGCUUUUCUGUGAGUACCAGAACAAACAUGGUUCGGGUCCCAGCAGCUCAUGUUGCAUCACGAUCCAGUGCACGAGCCUGUCAAGACUUCAAAGUGCUGCUGCAUGACUUGGCCCCACUCCUGAGAGAGAGAGAAAGAAAGGGCAGAGCAACAAUUGAACGCCAUCUGACUCCCCCUUCUCAAAGCCACAUCUCAACUCAGCACAUGAAUACUCUUCAGAUGCACUAACUUCUACAGCUUGGAUGGGGAGCUCCAGUAGCCUCCCAACUCUUUUUAAAGGCUUGCUUCUGAGAAUCCAAAGUCACUCUCAGCCAAAUAUGAAAGGUGCAAUAGUUUUAAUACAUAAAAGCUGGGCUUCACACCAACCCAUGAGAAACUUUUGGAACAGGGAGGAAUCUGCAAAACCAAGAAACCAUGCCAUCUCACACAUCAACUGGCUUUGGAUCAAAGAUUUAGAAUCGGACUCAGCUCAGACCUGAUGGAAACGCGAACUCACAUAUUUGCUUUCCAAGUGAGAAGUACUCUCUCUCCGAUUCACAUGCCAAAUCUGCACCAAAGCCUAACAUAGCGGCAGAAUGCGGUCAAGAAAGAAUGGGUCAGAAUUCCUUCCACCUGCCGUGGCCCCAUCCCUGAUUAAAGAUGGACCCACGAAACACACUCCCUUGCUUUCUACAUCCGCUUCCCACUACCCACCUUCGUUUCCUCUUCUUCAGCAUCUUUGA